GGAUUGCCCCAGUAACGGCGAGUGAAGCGGCAGCAGCCUAAAUUUGAAAUCUGGCCCCCUCCCGGGGGGUUCGAGUUGUAAUUUGCAGAGGAUGCUCCGGCGUCGGCCCCGGGUCAAGUCCCCUGGAACGGGGCGCCCCAGAGGGUGAGAGCCCCGUACUCGCCCGGCCGUCCUCCGCCGCGCGAAGCUCCUUCGACAAGUCGAGUUGUUUGGGAAUGCAGCUCCAAGCGGGAGGUAAAUUCCUUCUAAGGCUAAAUACCGGCCGGAGACCGAUAGCGCACAAGUAGAGUGAUCGAAAGAUGAAAAGCACUUUGGAAAGAGAGUUAAAAAGCACGUGAAAUUGUUGAAAGGGAAGCUCUUGCCGCCAGACCUGCCGCGGUCGCUCAGCCGCCCCUCCCCCGGGACGGCGCACUCGUCCGUCGGCAGGCCAGCGUCGGUUCGGGCGGUCGGAAGAAGGCCUCGGGAACGUAGCACCCUUCGGGGUGCGCUAUAGCCCGAGGCGCAACGCGGCCAGCCCGGUCCGAGGGACGCGUUCGCGAGGACGCUGGCGUAAUGGCCGCAAGCGACCCGUCUUGAAACACGGACCAAGGAGUCUAACAUCUGUGCGAGUGUUCGGGCGUCAAACCCGGGCGCGCAACGAAAGUGAACGGAGGUGGGAACCCCCCUCGAGGGGCGCACCAUCGACCGAUCCUGGUGUCUUCGGAUGGAUUCGAGUAAGAGCACGGCCGUUGGGACCCGAAAGAUGGUGAACUAUUCCCGGAUAGGGCGAAGCCAGAGGAAACUCUGGUGGAGGCUCGCAGCGGUUCUGACGUGCAAAUCGAUCGUCAAAUCUAGGAAUAGGGGCGAAAGACUAAUCGAACC
rnacentral:rRNA from 2 species